AAUAGUUGACGAGCAGGAAAGGCACCCUGCGCUCCCUGUAAGGGAACCUGAUAUGAUGGAUACGCCGCCCAUCCAAUUAUU
ncrna:unclassified sequences skipping-rope RNA